rnacentral:lncRNA from 1 species
AGGGAAGGGACAGUCGCCGCCGGUCUCUGGAGGAGGUGGAGAGUCUUGCCACAUUGAGGGCUCUGAUGUUGUCUGGACCCCCACCGCCGGAGCUCCGCCGGAAUACUAACCAAUCUUUACCUUAUGCCACAUUGAGGGCUCUGAUGUUGUCUGGACCCCCACCGCCGGAGCUCCGCCGGAAUACUAACCAAUCUUUACCUUUAGAGUUUCUGCUUUUCAUCAUCAAGAAUCAAUUGUUUGCUUUUAAUCUUUGUUCUUCAUGCUCUCUGUCACUCUUUAAGUUCGACAUGAGUUUAUAUGAUUCGCAUUGUCUUCUAGAGAUAAUUAGAAUGUCUGUCCCCUAAUGAUUGGUUGGUUUAUUUAAAAAAUUUCUUUAAUCUUAUCGCAUUGUUUAUUGGAUGUCUGGUAGUUUGGCU